rnacentral:rRNA from 1 species
GACGAACGCUGGCGGCGUGCUUAACACAUGCAAGUCGAGCGAUGAAAGCCUUAUGAACUAUUCGUAGUGAUUGGGGCCGGAUUAGCGGCGGACGGGUGAGUAACGCGUGAGCAACCUGCCUUAAACAACGGGAUAGCCUCGGGAAACCGGGAUUAAUACCGUAUGAGACCCCGCCUUCACAUGAAGAAGAGGUUAAAGAUUUAUCGGUUUAAGAUGGGCUCGCGUCUGAUUAGCUAGUUGGUGAGAUAAAAGCCCACCAAGGCAACGAUCAGUAACCAGCUUGGGAGAGUGAACGGUCACAUUGGAACUGAAACACGGUCCAAACUCCUACGGGAGGAAGCAGUGGGGAAUAUUGCAAAAUGGGGGAAACCCUGAUGCAGCGACGCCGCGUGAGCGAUGAUGGAAUUCGUUUCGUAAAGCUCUGUCCAAGGGGAAGAUAAUGACAGUACCCUUGGAGGAAGCCCCGGCUAAAUACGUGCCAGCAGCCGCCGUAACAC